rnacentral:lncRNA from 1 species
GUAGAUCUGGUCCGUCACUAAAUAUCUGGCUCAAAACAACACUUACAUUACAUGUUAAUAUUAUACAAACUAACUCUUACCCACCAGUCCAGGGUCGAUCGUCCACAACACUACUACCAAGUCUAACUUUAUUACAUAAUAGCAGGUCUGAUUACAGACUACCGUAAUAACUAUAGUUGGUAGCACCAAACAGCGUGGCCUAGCAGCUUCAGCUCAUGUGAUGUGCCUUCUCCUUUUCCUUUCCAAACCCCGUUUCCGGGCAGUUCUCUUGAGUUGUGCCAUACUCACUCUUUACUGCUCAAAAGGAAUAAAGUAGAUGCAAGAAUGAGCAACUAAUUGCUCAUCAAGUCCACAUAGCACAAAACAACAAUUAAUAGGAUAUGCAAAUAAAGCAUAUAAGACAAUUCAAGUCAAAGUAACAAAACAGUUGCCAUCAAAUGACAAAUCAAUUUCAAGUAAAGAAAACGCUGGUCUUCCACCUCUCGGUAACACUACAUGGCUCGAUCAGCACCAUUUCGUGAAUACCGUUCUCCUGUGUAGUCCUAGUGGUUUGAUCAUAACCACUGAAGACACACCAACACUCUAUUUGCUAGCAUCAGGGUUUAACACUGGAACCCUACUAUCUGCCUUACCAGAUAGUAAAUUUCAACUCUGCCACGAAUUUAAUAAAUUCGUGUUGACCAGCUUGAACAGAUCCUCCGAAUUCAAAGAAAUUUUUCCCAAACAAAUAUUUCUCAAUCAUCACUACUCAUCUCUAUCAAAGAAGUGCGAACAAUGCACCUUUCGUCAUAACAAAGAUUACCCGAAGGUAGAAACGAAAGAUAAUUAAAAGAACUAGAUUCCAAUGGAUAAGAUGAUCUCCGAAAGGAGUAAUUUGAGAUCAUCGCUGCAAUGUAUUCAUAUCAAGUUUCAAAGAUUCAAAAUAUUAUCGUUAUAGGAUUAGCUCAUUCCCGAACAAUGGGAGGGCUCAAAUUAGAAAGUAAUAUGUUAACAAUAUCUUUAAAGCCUUCAAAAUGAAACGGAGUAUUUUCUCGAUUCACAAUUGUACGAAAUGUAAUAUCUUCACAAUCAACAUUUUUCACAAAAUUAUGAAAUAGGCACAAAAAUUUCAUGUCAAGACAAGGAUAGUGAACUUGCCUGUCGUCCUUAGCUUGAUAAUAUUCCAAUUUAAGUUGAAUACUCAAGCUCGUCUACCAGAAUAGUCAACCUUUUAUGCCAUAAAAUAAUAAAUUUAGAGACCCUAACUUAAAAUAGUCAUCUUGUAGGAUCUAUUUAUUUAAUAUUACCUUGAUUGUUUCUCAAUUAUUCUUCUCUUAUUAAAUAAAAUAUUUAUUUCAAACAAACCUCCAUUUAUUACACGUACUUGAUUAACUAUAAAAGGGGUAACUUUCUCGCACACAAUUUACAUAUGUUUUAAUCUCAACAGGAGAGACAUAAUAAAUGUAUACCACCCCAAGGAAUUCUCUUGUUUAUUAUUCAAACAAUCAUUUAAUCAUCCAACUAAAAUCACACCUCCCCACUUUUUGAUAACGUCCUCUUAUUCUAGUAAUAAUCCUUUAUUCAUCAAUUUAUUUAUUAACUAAUAACCCAAACUAUUAAACAACUCCUAAGUUCCAAAUCUCAUUUAAAUGCCUCCUUUAAGUUUGUUAUUUUUUUAAUUAAUAGCAAACUAAAUUCUUAAUCCCCAAAAUUCUUCACUAAUAUUAAAUUCCUUACUACCUUAAACAAUUUAACUCAUUCCAUAUUAAAUUCUUAAAACAUCAAUUAAGAUAUUUAUUAAAUCUCAAAUCUCAUUUUCCGUUUAAUUAUGCCUCUGGACAUUCUUUUGAGCUUCACUUUAUUCUCUCAAUAUAAUAAUAAAUCUAAAAUAACUUUCAAUCCCUUUAAUCUCUCUUUUUAAUAAAGAACCAAAAUUUUCAUUUAUAGUUUCCGAAUUAUACAAUUUAUUUAUUUUUUUAUUAAAUCAAUUACCAUAAACAUUGCUCUCGGUAUUAUUCACUCAAAUAAAUAUACUCCACCUUUUGAAUAUAAUUCCCCUGUCUUAUCAAUUUUAUUAUUAAAUAUUCCCUCUUCCAACAACACCUCAAUCCAACCUUAACCCCAGUCAACAAAAUCAAGCAACUCAACGUCUCAAUCAAGAUUCAAUUUGUAAAUAUAAAUCCCAAUUAAUUAGUUUGUAAACAAAUAGGCUUGUUUAUAGUUGUGUUUAUAUACUCAGCCCCAAUAUCUAAGUUUUUAACAUUUAGUUCACCACAAGUAGGAUCCAGUAAGAGAGUUGAUUAAGCUUAUAACCAUAAAUAAGCAUAAAACAAGCUCAUAUAUGAAAAUGAAUACCUUUUUAAUAUAGAUGUGUUAAGUCCUGUGUGAUUGUGUCACUCUGCUCAAUUCUUUCCUGCCGACUUACUCCUUCAC